GACUACUGCAACAUAUGCUUAUGUGAGAAGACACUCAUCCUUCUUAAUCCUUGUGUUAAGUUUUGGUACUCAUAUUGGGCUGGCUUUACUCUAUGGGGCUUGCUGGCACUUGGUCUCUAGGUCAAGAUUUGCAACCAGCAUUUCUAUCUCAGUUUUUUCUUCUGAAAAGAAAAAAGAAAGAGAAAAAACUUUGAAUGUGAAUCUGUU
rnacentral:misc_RNA from 1 species